ensembl:rRNA 5S_rRNA 5S ribosomal RNA
UGAAACUAGUCAUAUCACCCUGCAGCCCAACACCGGUUACUCACUGAAGCUAAGCAGGGCUGAGCCUGGUCGGUCUCUGGAUGGGAGAGCACAUGGGAAAGCUAGGUUGCUGUUGGAA